rnacentral:rRNA from 1 species
GACAGAGGGUGCAAACGUUGUUCGGAAUUACUGGGCGUAAAGCGCGUGUAGGCUGCCUCGCAAGUCGGAUGUGAAAGCCCUGGGCUCAACCUAGGAAGUGCAUUCGAUACUGCGAGGCUGGAGUCCUGGAGAGGAAGGCGGAAUUCUCGGUGUAGAGGUGAAAUUCGUAGAUAUCAGGAGGAACACUGGUGGCGAAGGCGGGUCUCUGGGCCGAUGAUCGACGCUGAGGAGCGAAAGCGUGGGGAGCGAACAGG